rnacentral:rRNA from 1 species
GAUGAACGCUGGCGGCGUGCCUAAUACAUGCAAGUCGAGCGAACAGACGAGGAGCUUGCUCCUCUGACGUUAGCGGCGGACGGGUGAGUAACACGUGGAUAACCUACCUAUAAGACUGGGAUAACUUCGGGAAACCGGAGCUAAUACCGGAUAACAUGUUGAACCGCAUGGUUUAACAGUGAAAGACGGUCUUGCUGUCACUUAUAGAUGGAUCCGCGCCGCAUUAGCUAGUUGGUAAGGUAACGGCUUACCAAGGCAACGAUGCGUAGCCGACCUGAGAGGGUGAUCGGCCACACUGGAACUGAGACACGGUCCAGACUCCUACGGGGGGCAGCAGUAGGGAAUCUUCCGCAAUGGGCGAAAGCCUGACGGAGCAACGCCGCGUGAGUGAAGAAGGUCUUCGGAUCGUAAAACUCUGUUAUUAGGGAAGAACAAAUGUGUAAGUAACUAUGCACGUCUUGACGGUACCUAAUCAGAAAGCCACGGCUAACUACGUG